ACUCAUUUGGUGAUGUCUAUCAAUGCAAUUAUGUUGAAACCCCAUUAAUUAAUUAAUGUUAGUUACUAAUGGUUAUGCAAUUAAUUGCAUUUGGAAUAAUAUAAAAUUGAGUAAAUAACUUCAAAGUGUUGAGUCCUAUUUGGCAAGCUAAUACAGCUCAUCCUGCCCAAUUACACUGAUAAGAUUUUAAACUAAUUGAGCUCACACUGUGCCUCUCCAUUACCUGACAUUCAGAAGCAUGCAGAGAAGAUUAAAGGGAUUCAGGGGAUGGUGUGCUUGUAAAACCAGGAAUAGUCAUUCCUGGUUCUCAUUUAAGCAUAAAUACAUAUUAACUCAUAACUGAACAAUACUUUGCAUGGAGGUUGCCAUAGAGAUGAGCAUUCUAAGAUUUUGGGGGCUUUUGAUGGCAUUUCAGGUUAAAAAUAAAGACCCAGGUUGCCCAGGACGUCAUUACACAAUGGCAGGUGCGUAUCCUGCAGUCCAACUGCUUGCUCACCACGGCACUACAGGAGCAGAGGACUUGCCAUACCAGAUUAAAACAUUUGUUCAUCUAACCUGACAUUUUGCCUUCUGCACUGAUACUCUUGAGGAAGGUAGAAGGCUCCCAUAAUGUGUAUUACCUAUCCAAUUAUUCUAGGUGGUGUACAGAGAAGAAAUAUCCUUCGAGAGCCCUGCAGGCAAUUAGCUUACACCCAAAAGUGUGUUUUCAAUUACCCUUAUUAUUUCAGCAUGCCAAGCAGCAAGAGGUGGUUAAUGAUUGCAUGAAAUUUUCCAGCCUAUUAAAAAAAUCUGCUCAAUGUUACCAGAACCUUAAAUCUCAUGCCAGCAAACCCCAUGUGAGGCCCACAAGCUGCACUAAAACUGAGGGAGGAGAAGGUUUUGGGCUGCUGAGCUCUCAGUUUCUGCUGCAGCACUUUGGAUUCAGAAGGUAUUGGUGACCACAUCCAUGGAAAGUGAUCAUCAUCGUCUCCAUCUCAUCGCUAAGCAGGGCUAAACAGAGAAUUCUAUAAGAAUAAGAAGCUGCCAUGGAGCUGACUGAUGGGUGGCUUUUAAAACUCUGUUGGUAGCAGUGUGAGAGGACCAGGAAUUCACCAUGUCCUGUUGAAGAUCUCUUAGAAGACAGCGCUGAGGGACAGCUGAAUCCUGUACCACUCUGGAGCCCACACAGGGACAAGGGUCCACAUGUCUUGGUAAUUCAGCUCCAGUAUUCCAGGUAUUUCGUACCACCCAGGUACAAAACUGGCUUAUAUAUUCCAAGUUAUAUUUGUGGAUUUUAUAUGUACAAUGCAUAUAUAUGCAUAACUUUCCAAAUUGCAUAUAGUGAAAUUUUCAGGGUGAAAGAAAAGCAGUGAAGUUUUCUGUUUCCUGUGUAGUUCUCACAGCGUGAAGACCCAAUUCAUCCUGCAGUCCUAACUCUGUAGGUGCUAUGCAACAAAUUAAUUUUCACUUGGGUGAGUAAACCAGCUGAAAUCAGGGCCACUUUUUUCACUGUACUUGGCACAGAGAUUUAUUGAAAGGAGGAGAAAUUGGGAGGAAAAAAUACCUUCUGCUUACACAGACAAUGCAAUUUUGGCUGAAAUAACAGAUAUUAUUUCUAAAACUACUGUAUAAUUUUUCUGUUAUACACAAAUAUCUUUCGUGACACCAAAUAUUUUUGUCUAGUUGUAGCUUCUGUCGAGUCAUGAAAUAUUGUAGAAAAUGUAGUUUGUGAUUCUUUACUAUUGAUGUUUAGCUGGAUUUUAAUAGUGUGGUGAAAAGCACUUUAUAGCCAAAGUAUGCAAAAAUUACUUUUCUGGCUUGGUUAGUCUGGCUUAUGGAGUGUUCACUGAAGGAAACACUCACAUGAGUGCUUGGCCAUUAGCAUAUUAGGGCUUUGCUGUAUGGAAAAGCAUUUAAGCACUUAAGCAUUUCACUGAACUGAAACCACAUAGUGUAAAACAGUAUUACAAAUUGUCAUAGGUAAGUACAUUAAGCUGGAGCAGAAGAAAACUCUUAGAAGGGAGGAAACUUGGGUGCUUCUCAGAAGUAAGAAAAGAUUAGAUGAUGUUCUUUACAACAGAAAAUAAGAAGGGGGGAGGGGAGAGACUAGGAUAGAGGAAAAAACGAAAUGGGGUAGAAGCAAAAUGUAAGAGGGGCUGAGGGGGAAAUUGAGAUUUUAAGAACAAUUUGAAGUUUAAUAAGUUGGCAUCCGUGCCAGUCAGUUUCCUUUCUGGAUGCACUGAGGGAUGAUGUUAACACCUCAGAGGAGGAGAACAAAUUGCCUUAGCUUCCUGGCUCUCAUUAUUUGCCUGACUAGUGACCACCCUGCAACUUGCCCUAGCGAUGUUGUAGAAGGAUGUGAUCCCUCAUUGCUCCCGACCAACCCCAGUGGUAGCUGUGUCAGUCAAGCAUGCAUCAAGAUGAUGCUUCAGGCUCAUCAAACAUCAUUUGCAACUCAAAGAUUUCCUUUUCCUACUGCUGUGCUAACUUAGGGCCCAAAUGAAUCCCUGGAGUUCAGUUUCACCAUUGAAUUCUCCCUGGAUUGCCUGAAUCUAUUCAUUUUUCUUCUGCUUCUCCAAGAAAUGGGUUUUAAUAACAAUUUUACAGGACACAUUUGCAGCAUAAAUUUUGUUGUCUGUUGUUUUUCUUGUAUUUUCAUUCAGGAAGACAUUUUAAAGUCUAGUAAAUUUUUACAUUUGCAUACUCCAGCUGUAGGAACUUACACAGUGAUUUAUAGUGUGAACAUAUAAUCAAACUCCUGGCUAGGACCCCUACUGUGAAAUUCGACUGUUCUUCCACUUUCACAUUACAUUUAACAGCAUGUAAACUCUGCACAAAAUAAACUUCUUGUAGGCAUUAAGCUUCAUUCUCUUGUUGGAGAAAAACUGUCUUCAUUACCCUGCCAAUUAUAUAAUGCUUUCCUUGUUAAAUAUAAAUAUGUGAAUGUACACAUACUUUGUUUGUAUUUUUUUAAUGUUGCUAAUGGAUGAUGUAGUUCUUUACCAUAAAGCAAUAAAGAUAUUGCAAUAUGAAACAAAGAACAGACUUUAUGCAGGAAAGAAUACAAAAAUUCUGCAGC